rnacentral:rRNA from 1 species
GAUAAACGCUAGCGGCAGGCUUAACACAUGCAAGUCGAGGGGCAGCAUAGAUUGUAGCGAUACAAUUGGUGGCGACCGGCGCACGGGUGCGUAACGCGUAUGCACCCUACCCGUCACAGGGGAUAAACCGGAGAAAUCUGGUCUAAUACCCCAUAACAUAUGGAUCGGCAUCGUUUAAUGUUGAAAGAUCCGGCGGAUAGAGAUGGGCACGGGCAAGAUUAGCUAGUUGGUGAGGUAACGGCACACGAAGGCGAUGAUCUUUAGGGGGCCUGAGAGGGUGAUCCCCCACACUGGUACUGAGACACGGACCAGACUCCUACGGGAGGCAGCAGUGAGGAAUAUUGGUCAAUGGGUGCAAGCCUGAACCAGCCAUCCCGCGUGAAGGACCACUGCCCUAUGGGUUGUAAACUUCUUUUGUAUAGGGAUAAACCUACCCUCGUGAGGGUAGCUGAAGGUACUAUACGAAUAAGCACCGGCUAACUCCGUGCCAGCAGCCGCCGUAA